CGAAGAUUAUAGCUGCGAUCAAUUCAUAGAGCGGUGGGAGUGAAAGCGAGUGGUUGAUUACGCGACUCUUGCGUUUGGCUGCUCUUUCCCAGUAGCAUUUGAUCCGUCUACGAUUCAUAUUCAAAACCACAUCAUGUCUGCUGAAGCUGCACUGUUAAUACUCCUAGGAUCCGUCCUCACAUUCGCUCCCACAGCAACCGACCAGGUGCAUCAAUUGCCCAGGUUAUCGUCAGAGCCGAGUAUGGAGUCAGCAGAAGUGAUCCGUCUUAAAGCGGAAAACAGGCUGCUUAAAGAGCAACUCGAACGUCUCACCGCAAAUUGCAGAGCGACAAUUCAAAAUCUCACCGAAAAAUACACUGCAAGGAUAACAACUUUGUCCAAUAAACAAGAAAAUUUGCAAAGAGAUGUAUCCAUUAUCCAAGUAGCAACAAUACUUGAACGGUUUGAAAAUGAAUAUGGUGCGGAGUUUAGAAACAAGUCUCGAAGAGAAAAAUGGUUCGAAAUAUUAAGGUACAUGCAGACAAAGAACCUGUUAAGGUAA
rnacentral:lncRNA from 1 species